rnacentral:piRNA from 1 species
UGAAAGUUUUCAUUGUACUUC